UCCCCCGCGCCUGCGCAGUGCGGGCGCAGCACCCCCGGCACGGCGCGGAGGAUGCGGGGCUGCAGCUAAGGCAGCAGCAGCAGCAGCAGCAGCCGUGUUGAGGGAUGGAGGCGCCGCUGGUCAGCCUGGAGGAGGAGUUCGAGGAGGGGCCCGGGGACGAUGGGGGGUCCCCGCCGCGCCCCACAGACCCCGCGCUGGCCGAGCUGGAGAGCUUCUCUGCCGAGAUGAUGAGCUUCAAGUCCAUGGAGGACCUGGUGCAGGAGUUUGACGAGAAGCUCACCGUGUGCUUCCGCAACUACGACGCCGCCACCGAGGGCCUGGCGCCCGUGCGGGGCCGGCUGCAGGCGCAGGAGGAGGAGGAGUGCCUGCAGGACGAGGAGGUCUGGGAUGCUCUGACCGAUGGCUUUGCCCCCCGGGGCUCCCCCCGGCCGUGGCAGCUCCCUGGGACCGAGGCCCUCGAUGGCACCGACCCCCAGGUACGGCUGUGACAUCCCCGCAGGGUCCCCUGGGUGUGAUUGACAGCUGUCAGUCAGCCCCGAGGCUCAGCAGCCAUCAUGGCACUGUAAACCACCCACGAAGGGUUGGUUUAGCACCUGGCCUGUGCCAGUUUGCCCCCAUGCCACAUUGGGGUGGGUGGUUUUGGGGUAGAAAAUGGGUUUUCAUUUGUAGUGAGUAUGUGCUGUCAAUGGCUGCUUUUUGGGGUUGUACAAAUGUCCCAAUAUCCAUGGAAUUGAACCCAUUUGGAUGUGUUGCUGAAGGGGGAAGAGAAGAUAACUUCCUUGGGUUGUUUUCUGCUCAAAAGGUGAAAAAAGAUGGUGAAGGUGGGGAAAAAGAAGAUGUCCCCUCACCCAACAUCUCCAUCAAUCUGUUCCCUGGUGGUGUCCCCUCUGCCAUGUCCCCACCUGGUGUCCCCACCCUGUGUCUCCAUCAGACCUCUCCCAUUCAGCCCCACCAGCCCUCAUCUCCAGCAUCCCCUGUGUCUCCACCGAGCAUGUCCAACCCCACUCUCCAUCCAGCACCUCUGGACUUCUCCCUGACUUCUUCCUACUCCCUGGCUCCAUUCUGCACUCUCCAUCCAGCACUCCCUGUCCAACAUCUCCAUCCAUCUCCUGCAGCACCUCCACCUCCAGUGCUGUCCAGUGUCCCUGCCCAAAGCCCCAUCCAACAUCCCCAUCCAGCAUCUCCAUGCAAUACCCUCAAUCCAGCAUGUCCCAUUCGAUGUCCCCAUGCCACCCGCCAUGUCCCCAUGCCACUGGCUCUGUCCCUGCUGGGGCCAUGCCCACACCAGGCUGGGCCUGUGGUGCCACCCAGGCUGCCCAGCCUGUGUCUCCUGCAGCUCGGUGGGAAGGAGGAGGAGGAGGAAGAGGAGGAGGAGCUGACUGAGAGGAGUGAGCAGGACUCUGGGAUCAACGAGGAGCCGCUGCUGACAGCUGAGCAGGUCAUCGAGGAGCUGGAGGAGCUCAUGCAGAGUUCACCUGACCCCGAGGCUGACCCCGAGGGUGAAGAGGAAGAGGAGGAGGAGGAGGAUGAGGAGGAGGAGGAAGAAACCAAGGCUGAUGCUGAAGGCAAAGGUGGUGGUGGGGGCACGGAGCCCAUCCUGCUGCGGGAGCUGCAUGCUUUCUCCCCUGCCUUCAACAACAACUGCUCCCACGAAGGUACGGCCAGCAAAGCCCAGGCCAGUCACUUUUUGGGGACAAUUCCAACCAAUUUGGACAACUGA
ensembl:lncRNA